UCAGGCGAGCGGGGUCUGUCUCUUUAUGAUUUCUAACCAGUGAGUGUCACGGCUGCCCAGUUCGCUGUUUUUGUGGCUGACUUUCAGCGGGCAGGAGGCAAGGGGCCGAGCCCCAGGAGCGCGCAAAAAACAUCAGCCACGGCAGAAACUCCAGCUCGUGGCCCGUCUGGCCCGUCCGAGCCCAGCCCCGGUCCGAACGCCCUGGGGGCGCCCCCCGCGGAGCCCUGGCUGCCCACGAGCAGAGGCGGCGGCUGUCUCAGGGCCCCUACGUGCGUGGGCGCCCACUGCUCCCGCCAAGAGUUCGGCUCCGUCAGCCUCGGGGUGCGCGGGGGGCCGUGAGGCGAGCCCCAAGGCCGGGCGGGGUCGGGGGCACAGGGAGAGUAAUCAUGAGGUGCAUUCAGAUGGCUGGGCUCUCCCUCGAGUUGUGGGAGCCGCCCCCAGCGCGCCCCUCAUACACAA
rnacentral:telomerase_RNA from 1 species